rnacentral:rRNA from 1 species
UACGUAGGGUGCGAGCGUUAAUCGGAAUUACUGGGCGUAAAGGGUGCGCAGGCGGCGUCGCAAGUCAGGCGUGAAAUCCCCGGGCUUAACCUGGGAACUGCACUUGAAACUACGAUGCUGGAGUAUGGCAGAGGGAGGUGGAAUUCCACGUGUAGCGGUGAAAUGCGCAGAUAUCAGGAGGAACACCGGUGGCGAAGGCGGGUCUCUGGGCCGAUACUGACGCUGAGGAGCGAAAGCGUGGGGAGCAAACAGG